AAAGUGUUCGUUCAAAGAGCUCUUUGAUGCCCUCUGGCGGGGUUUGGGGGGGGGGAAGCUAAACAGAGGGAUUCAGCCCCUGUCCUCAGCACAGCAGGCGGUAGAAACUAGCUUAGCACUUUACUAGGUUGAAGCCACAACACCGCUGGAUCUCUUUCACUUGCUCUUGCUUCAUGGGUUAGUUGUGUGACAUCAUAGUGCUUGAGGAACCCCACCCUUUUGGACUGUUGUGUCGAGGUACUCUCUAUCAGCAGUACCCGACCUUUUUUGUACCAAGUACCAGCCGGCCGGUAUCAGCUGUGGAGCGGUAAUAUCGUGUUGGUCAACAAUACCAAAGAACACCCUUCCAGCCAUGUUCUGUGCCUUUCCUCCUGUGUGGAGUUGAUCAGUGUCAUCACCCUCACCUGUGUCUCUGUCGUUAGUCUCACUCCUGUCACCUGCUGCCCUUGGUAUAUAUAUCCCUCUGUCCCUCACUCUGUCUUGGUGGGAUCAUUGUUCUGAGUUCAGUCCUUGUCGUCCCACAUCCCUGAGCUACUGUUUGUUUCGGCGUCUCCUGAGAAUCCAGUUUUCCUUGUAGUGGAUGACAGCAGGGAGCAGUAGUGGAGAUGCUGUAGGAACUCCAACCACCGCUAGAAGACAAACCGUGAUUGAACCUCCCACCCUCAGUGAGAGGCAGCUGCCCGUGGUAGAAGAGGAACUAUCACCCAGUACAAAGCGACGAACAGGAACUAUUUGCCCCGUGCCCAGCUUUCCUUCUUGCUGUAGCGUUAACAGAGUGAGGAGAAGGCAGACCGAAGGAGUCAAGAAAAGGGGGGACAGAGAAAGAGAGGGAGGGAGAGAGAGUGUGUGUGUGUGAGAGAGAGAGAGAGAGAGAGGGAGGGAGAGACGAGCUGGAAGACGCAGUAAUGACAGAGCAGCAGCUGAAAAAUAGAACAACUCUUGUGCAGGAGCGGAACAUUGAUAAGGCAACUGGCUGACCCAGCGACAGAUGUGAUUUCCAAAAACCGUUGUGACCGGUUCGGUGCCAGCAGGGAGCUGGACGUGUGAUAACAACGCGCUCUCUUCACCACAACACUCCCCGCCGGCAGCCUCAGCUUCUCCCCGGGACUGGAGGACAUCAGCACGGCUGUCGGUGAGGCGGCGCUGCUGCGCACAGCCGUGCCAUGUGUCACUGCGCGGCAUAGAAGCUCUUUGUGGGGCUGCCGUACACACCGGGGACAGGUGCUGCCGCGUACGCCUGUGUUCAAGUAUGGGUGUGUGUUAGAACUGGCCCGGGUACACGGACACGGAGACACGCACGCACACGCACACCCCCUCAGACAGUUGUCUAAAGGAUGUCAGGCCGACGUACGGGAGCAGUUUUGUCCUGAGACAGGUGCGACAGGGCGGAGUAGUUUACGAAGCCUGACGCGGGAUUUGGGGACGCGCAGAACAACCUUCUCCCUUUCGUCAGGUCAUCCUUGGAUUUUUCUGACAUUGUUUCCACUGGGACACGCUGCUCACGCACUCACAUAGUCCGUGUUUGGGCUCCACCAUUUCCUCCACGACAGUCUGAGAGGCCACUCCAGGACAGAGCCGGCUUUCCUUAUCAGUCUGUCCAGCCUCUGCCUGCCUGCCUGCUGCCGAGAUUCCAUUGGCCCAGCAUACCACACAAAAAGUCGGAAAAGGUUUUAGGGAGUGCCCCUUGCAUUCCAAAAGACCUGUCUCCUCAGCAGGUAGGGUCUGCUCCCACCCUUCCUGUAGAGAGCAGUCGCAUGGUAGUUUAGUUUAGUUUAUGUCUUUGUAUCAGAAAUCUGUACACUAAACAACCGACUGCUGAUGUGUAUGUUAGAAAGUGCCUGGCUCGGAGCCUGUUUAUGGAGCUACGCCGUUCUCUUGUGUGUAUGAGUUGCUCUCUAGCAUAGCCGUUUGAGGUGGUCAUAAAGACCAGGAGAGGGUAUAAAUAGUGACCUCUCACAGUAAAGAGGUCAGUUAAAUUUAAGAGGUACCUUAACGAGGCCUGUGGACUAACCUGUGGUAAGAGGAUCACUGCUGUCCAGGAAUGGGUUGAUGGAACAAAUACAAAGGACUUACAGUAUCUAGAUACUGUAUUUGUUUGUCUCAGUCUGUAUAUACACAGUACAAUGACAACAAAGGCGAUUCUUCUUCUUCUUCUUCUUAAUCCCUACCUGAUACGCAGGCAAUGCUGUCGUUUUUACGAACAUGUUACAACAGGGAGGAUCGAUAGCUAAGUAAAAACAGGCUUCAUGCUAUGAAGGUUGGAGAGAGGGAGUAAAAGGGAGGGAAAUACGCGAAAAGAGAGAGAAAGGGGGGUGGGGGGGGCAGACAGCAAGGGGAGAGAAAGCGAGAGACAAAGUGGCCCUGGGGCAUCUGUGCAGCAGGGAAACCCUGGAGAUCUGUCGAUACACAGGCAGGUGGUUGUUGUAGGAUCAAUUCAGGCCGAGGGCAUUGUUUCUCUCUUCUAAUUGCCGUGUGCCCUGACAGUGCACCCUACUUUGUGUGCAUAC